rnacentral:rRNA from 1 species
CGGUAAAGCCGCGAAUGGCUCGGUAUAACAGCCACCGUUUAUUAGAUCUUAGUUAUCUACUUGGAUAACUGUGGCAAUUCUAGAGCUAAUACAUGCACGAAAGCUCGGACCUUAGGGAAAGAGCGCAUUUAUUAGACCAAAACCAAUCGGGCUUCGGCUUGUGUUUUGGUGACUCUGAAUAACUAAGUUGAUCGCACAGUCUUAGUACUGGCGACGUAUCUUUCAAAUGUCUGCCUUAUCAACUUUCGAUGGUAGGUUAUACGCCUACCAUGGUUAUAACGGGUAACGGAGAAUAAGGGUUCGACUCCGGAGAGGGAGCCUGAGAAAUGGCUACCACAUCCAAGGAAGGCAGCAGGCGCGCAAAUUACCCAAUCCCAGAAUGGGGAGGUAGUGACGAAAAAUAACGAGACAGUCCACUAUGUGGCCUGUCAUCGGAAUGGGUACGAUUUAAAAACUCUAACGAGGAUCUAUUAGAGGGCAAGUCUGGUGCCAGCAGCCGCGGUAAUUCCAGCUCUAAUAGCGUAUAUUAAAGUUGUUGUGGUUAAAACGCCCGUAGUUGGAUCUUCGGUCUUGAAGCUCGGUAGCUCGUAAGGGUUUAACUGAGUCUUCUGGCCUAAAUUUUAGUAUUCCGCUGAUGCUCUUUACUGAGUGUCUUUGGUUGCUAGAACGUUUACUUUGAAAAAAUUAGAGUGCUAAAAGCAGGCUUUACGCUUGAAUAAAGUGCAUGGAAUAAUGGAAUAGGACUUUAGUUUUAUUUUGUUGGUUUUCGAAAUUAAAGUAAUGAUUAAGAGGAACAGACGGGGGCAUUCGUAUUGUUGCGUUAGAGGUGAAAUUCUUGGAUCGCAGCAAGACGAACAACUGC